GGGUCAGUAGGUUGGUCGUGCCACCGGUACGUACUGGCCUCACUGAUUCCUCCUUCCUGAAGAACGGUAAUGCCAUUAAUUUGGUGUUGCGGGGAAACAGGACUGUUACUUUGAAAAAAUUAGAGUGUUUAAAGCAAGCUAACGCUUGAAUACAUUAGCAUGGAAUAAUGAAAUAGGACGAUCGAUCCUAUUUUGUUGGUUUCUAGGAUUGACGUA
rnacentral:rRNA from 1 species